GCCCGCUUGGCACAGCGGUAAUGCGCCUCACUAGUAUCUGUAGAUCCUACUGAGAAUUCGCAAUGAGGAGAUGACUGGUUCGACUCCAGUAGUGGGCA